UUUCGAGACUACCAAGUUUUGUUAGCAUUUAUGCUACCAACACUCUCACUGUGACGUGCCCUUCAAAGAAUUAUUUUGCCUUCCUAAAUCUUGGAAAACUAGAAAUAAUUGAAUGUGCGAAAUUGGAAGUAGUCUUUCCAAAGUCUGUGCUAAGAUGCUUACCAAAGUUGAAUGUUCUUGUGAUAAGAGACUGCAAAGAAUUAAAGCAUAUCAUGGAAGAAGACGAGUCCAAUUUUCUUUCUAUAAAUGGAGGCUCUGAACUAGAGGAGUUUAUAGGAUGUGAUAAAGAAGCUUCAAAGAAUUAUUUUGCCUUAACAAAUCUUGAAAAACUAGAAAUAAUUGAAUGUGCAAUAUUGGAAAUAGUCUUUCCAAAGUCUGUUUUAAGAUGCUUACCAAAGUUGAAUGUUCUUGUUAUAAGAAACUGCAAAGAAUUAAAGCAUAUCGUGGAAGAAGACGAGUCCAAUCUUCUUUCUAUAGAUGGAGGCUCUGAACUAAAGGAGAUUAUUGGAUGUGAUAAAGAAGCUUCAAAGAAUUAUUUUACCUUCCCAAAUCUGGAAAAACUAGAAAUAAUUGAAUGUGCGAAAUUGGAAAUAGUCUUUCCAAAGUCUGUUUUAAGAUGCUUUCCAAAGUUGAAGCUUUUGAAGGUAAGAAAAUGCGAAGAAUUAAAACAAAUCAUUGAAGGAGAUAAAAAUUUGUCUAAUAUUCUUUCUCCUCAACCAUGCUUUCCAAAACUAGAAACAUUGCAUGUUGAUCAUUGUCACAAGUUGAAAAGAUUAUUCUCUGGAUCUGCUUCUAAUGACCUUCCGAAUCUUCUUCUUCUGGCCAUAAAUGGAGCCUAUGAACUAGAAGAGCUUGUUGGAUGUAAACAAGGAAAGAUUAAAGUUGAGCUCCCAAGGCUCAAACUUUUAAUAUUUCUGCAUCUUUCAAACUUCCGUCAAGAGAUUGAAUUGGAUAAUUUAAAGAAUUGCAUUGUCUACAAAUGUCCACAACUCUUUUUGACAUCAACAACUACUCUUGAGAAGCUCUCGGUAGAUUUUCCUUAUGAAGAUUUCAUAAACACUGAACUUGAUUUUUG
rnacentral:sRNA from 1 species